rnacentral:rRNA from 1 species
UUGAACGCUGGCGGCAGGCCUAACACAUGCAAGUCGAGCGGAUGAAGGGAGCUUGCUCCUGGCUUCAGCGGCGGACGGGUGCGUAAUGCCUAGGAAUCUGCCUGGUAGUGGGGGAUAACGUCCGGAAACGGGCGCUAAUACCGCAUACGUCCUGAGGGAGAAAGUGGGGGAUCUUCGGACCUCACGCUAUCAGAUGAGCCUAGGUCGGAUUAGCUAGUUGGUGGGGUAAAGGCCUACCAAGGCGACGAUCCGUAACUGGUCUGAGAGGAUGAUCAGUCACACUGGAACUGAGACACGGUCCAGACUCCUACGGGAGGCAGCAGUGGGGAAUAUUGGACAAUGGGCGAAAGCCUGAUCCAGCCAUGCCGCGUGUGUGAAGAAGGUCUUCGGAUUGUAAAGCACUUUAAGUUGGGAGGAAGGGCAGUAAGUUAAUACCUUGCUGUUUUGACGUUACCAACAGAAUAAGCACCGGCUAACUUCGUG